rnacentral:rRNA from 1 species
UGGGGAAUUUUGGACAAUGGGGGAAACCCUGAUCCAGCCAUCCCGCGUGUGCGAUGAAGGCCUUCGGGUUGUAAAGCACUUUUGGCAGGAAAGAAACGUCGCGGGUUAAUACCCCGCGAAACUGACGGUACCUGCAGAAUAAGCACCGGCUAACUACGUGCCAGCAGCCGCGGUAAUACGUAGGGUGCAAGCGUUAAUCGGAAUUACUGGGCGUAAAGCGUGCGCAGGCGGUUCGGAAAGAAAGAUGUGAAAUCCCAGAGCUUAACUUUGGAACUGCAUUUUUAACUACCGGGCUAGAGUGUGUCAGAGGGAGGUGGAAUUCCGCGUGUAGCAGUGAAAUGCGUAGAUAUGCGGAGGAACACCGAUGGCGAAGGCAGCCUCCUGGGAUAACACUGACGCUCAUGCACGAAAGCGUGGGGAGCAAACAGGAUUAGAUACCCUGGUAGUCCACGCCCUAAACGAUGUCAACUAGCUGUUGGGGCCUUCGGGCCUUGGUAGCGCAGCUAACGCGUGAAGUUGACCGCCUGGGGGAGUACGGUCGCAAGAUUAAAACUUAAAGGAAUUGAC